rnacentral:misc_RNA from 1 species
ACAAGAGGCCGCCACAAGAGUCCCAGCUACAGGAGUGAUCUUGCAUCACAUGAUUUGGUGGGAAGGGAUGGUGAUUUUCUGCGUUCUAAAGAAUCUCACAGGAGAAGCAACAAGGAAAUGGAUGGCCACAAGGAAGAUUUGUUGCCGAAGAGGAAACAUGACGACAGGGAAACUGAGAAGCCAAAGGAGAGAUAUACUAGAGAACCCAG